AGCUUUUCGGAUCCGUGCUGAAAUUUCGUCUGACACCAACCCAUUUGGGUUGAUCAGAUUUCCAAGAUAAGUGAAGUU
rnacentral:pre_miRNA from 1 species